rnacentral:lncRNA from 1 species
CCGGUGUUGUAUAAGUCUGCAAGAUUCGGAUUUUAAGAGUACUUGCUCCCUGUACUAGUUACUUCUACUAUUUAUUUUUAGCUGUUUAGUACUACUCUGUAGAUCUGUGAUACUAGUCUAGUCGCUUGUAUAAUUUUGUUUAAUGGUGUAACCUGAAACAUUGAGUAGUACCCUGUUCGCAUAUGUGUGAUUAUGUGUGUUCUGUAGUCUCUAGCUCCAGUACAUGUGAACUAUAUGUUGUGGUGUAAAUCAUUUUCAUUCUAUCUUAUAAACGUGUUUCUUCAAUAGCUAUUUUUGUUCAAGUCUUGUUGUCAUUGAUGUUAGCAUUUAGUUUGUCUCAAGUAAAAAAAAUACUAAAAAUACAGUGAAGAUAAUCUGAACCUCCCUAUGUAAAAUUUAGUUUGUCUAUAAUACUACUAGGAGAUGGGUGAGGGACUGAAAGGAUGAUAUGCUUCCAUGAAUUUAUUUGUAAGAAUUUUUUCUUGGCUCUGUACAAAUCAGCACAAAUAUGUGAGCCUCGGUUCUGAAAACUAAAGAAUUCAUAUAUUGCUAGAUAGACUAUGAUUUAGGAUAUGCUAAACAGAAAGCUUUAUAAGAUGGAACUAUCAAUUCAUCAUGACUUCACUUUGUCCUUUAAUUUAAUUUAAUUUAAUAUGGUUAGAACUACCAUGGUUUUUUAAGUAGUUGGCGCAUUAAGAAACAGUAUGCUGGAUGUUUGGCCUUGCAUUCGUCCUUCCAUGAAUUCAUGCUUGUACAUUGCUAGUUAUUGAUUUUUUUGCAAGUCUUCUUCUUCCUCGAUCUUGUGCAGCAGCAACAAUUCAAGGUCAUGGUCAUGGAGCAGCAGCCAUAUAUUUUUCUUCUUAUUCCUCCCUGAGAUGACAUGAGAUGAGGUUUGUUUUCCUCAAGGUCAAGGUGCAGCAGCUCGAUUUGAUUUGAUGUGAUUGGAUUCAGUUUCCUCAUGCUUCUCUGUUUGCAUUGCAGGCUCUGUUGGUCGGUCUUCAAUUCUUCAUGCUGUUGCUGCUACUGCUACAUGAGGACCCUCUUCAAUUCUGCAUCCAUUGCGGCCGCCGCAGCUUCCACCUCUACCCGGCCGCAUUCGCAAGUGUAAGCUCCCCCUCCCUCCGUCCUAGAUCUCUAGGUCUGUUGCUGUCAUGCGCCAUGUUCUUGAUGUUGCGCGACCUAAUGUGGAUGCCACGAACGGCGCUGCUCCUGUGUGCAGAUUUGAUUCACCGCAUUAGUAUGCGGUUGUUGUCUCGUCGUGGUUGCUCAAACUGAGAUGUACCCAGUUGAUUCGUCAUCUCGGGUCAUAAAUUUUUCUGCAUUCCCUGUUGCUGUAGCUUGUUGGAUGCAUAGUUUGAUCUCCCAAUGGGAAUUAUUAGUGAAUGGUGAUGUCUGUGGUCACGAGAAUGGUGAUGUAGUAGCUGGUAUGCUUGAUGCGUGUAAGUCCAUCUCUUUACUGUUUUGCUAGAACCAUAAAUCCUGAUGCGCAUGAUGAUCAUGGUCUGAUUUGUUAGAUCUAUUCUGCUGGUGCUUAAAAUUUGACAUGCCUGGAUUCUAAAACAAAUUUUACAGCAUUCUAUGUUGUAGCCAAACACUUGCUCUGUAUUUUAUAUUAAAACCAUGGUAUUGUGUACCUGCCAACUACGAGUAAAUUACUGAAGUUUUUAAUACUUUGGUUUUUUUGAUACUUUUUUUACAGAAAGGCAAUGGUCUGUAGUGAACUGAAGAUAGGAAAAAUGAUAUGUAAAUGCACUUUGAUCUGCUCAGUAGGAGCAAGAUGGAGUCGCUGGAGCAGAGCAGUCGAGUCUGCAUUUUGUUCUUCUGUCAGACAGACAUCCACAUGUUGUACCGAUUCUUAGUUCAGAGAUAGGAAUGUAUAAAUGGUUGCCGAUCUCUCCAUGCAUGGAACAGUAGCUUUUUAUGUAGGAUCCUUUCCGUAUAGAUGAGUCACAACAUUGAUUUGUUGAUCCAUUUGGAAACUAAAAGAAAGUACAGAGAGGACGAACUUGUUGGUAGAACUUCAUCAUAUUCAGCAGACGGAGUCCACGGGUGUAGCAUUUUGUCUAGUACACCCAACACCACCUGAGGAUCCAAUUCACUGUUAGAAAGUUAGAAAUUGAUAUUACAGGUUCCUUAUAGUGCAAACCAAAGCUGCUACUCCAACAACCAUCAAAUGAAACCAUGUUUUCUAAAAUUAAAGGGUCUGAUUGAUAUUGGUCCUUCUUUUGACAGAUAUAAUAUGUAUACUGACUUGUUAUUUUCUUCUCUAGCAAGCACUACGGCGUCAACUUUGUGGUGGCCGACGCGACGGCCAUCGAGCAUGACUUCUUCCCCAAGAACAACCUCAGCGUGGACAUCACGCCGUAGUACAUCAUGAUGGAGCUUGGCUAGAUGUACACAUAUUUUUUUACAACCUCUGCGUGCAUAUUUUUUUUACAAUGCACCAAAGUUUCUUGUUUCUGUUGUGAAAGUAAUGUAAAUGGUGUUACAUAGUUCUCAAUAAAAAUGCAAAUAACUUGUGAAUUUGUCUUCAUGUUGUAUAAGUCUCGACAAAGUUAAUUUGCAUAAUCCUUGACCUCCUCCUGCAAUCUCUCUUUCUCCCUUUCUUCUUUGAAUUUCCCGGUGUUGUAUAAGUCUGCAAGAUUCAGAUUUUAAGAGUACUUGCUCCCUGUACUAGUUACUUCUACUAUUUAUUUUUAGCUGUUUAGUACUACUCUGUAGAUCUGUGAUACUAGUCUAGUCGCUUGUAUAAUUUUGUUUAAUGGUGUAACCUGAAACAUUGAGUAGUACCCUGUUCGCAUAUGUGUGAUUAUGUGUGUUCUGUAGUCUCUAGCUCCAGUACAUGUGAACUAUAUGUUGUGGUGUAAAUCAUUUUCAUUCUAUCUUAUAAACGUGUUUCUUCAAUAGCUAUUUUUGUUCAAGUCUUGUUGUCAUUGAUGUUAGCAUUUAGUUUGUCUCAAGUAAAAAAAAUACUAAAAAUACAGUGAAGAUAAUCUGAACCUCCCUAUGUAAAAUUUAGUUUGUCUAUAAU